UACCUUCAGAGUGUUUUGCAA
rnacentral:piRNA from 1 species